rnacentral:rRNA from 1 species
AGAGUUUGAUCCUGGCUCAGAUUGAACGCUGGCGGCAGGCCUAACACAUGCAAGUCGAGCGGUAGAGAGAAGCUUGCUUCUCUUGAGAGCGGCGGACGGGUGAGUAAUGCCUAGGAAUCUGCCUGGUAGUGGGGGAUAACGUUCGGAAACGGACGCUAAUACCGCAUACGUCCUACGGGAGAAAGCAGGGGACCUUCGGGCCUUGCGCUAUCAGAUGAGCCUAGGUCGGAUUAGCUAGUUGGUGGGGUAAUGGCUCACCAAGGCGACGAUCCGUAACUGGUCUGAGAGGAUGAUCAGUCACACUGGAACUGAGACACGGUCCAGACUCCUACGGGAGGCAGCAGUGGGGAAUAUUGGACAAUGGGCGAAAGCCUGAUCCAGCCAUGCCGCGUGUGUGAAGAAGGUCUUCGGAUUGUAAAGCACUUUAAGUUGGGAGGAAGGGCAGUUACCUAAUACGUGAUUGUUUUGACGUUACCGACAGAAUAAGCACCGGCUAACUCUGUGCCAGCAGCCGCGGUAAUACAGAGGGUGCAAGCGUUAAUCGGAAUUACUGGGCGUAAAGCGCGCGUAGGUGGUUAGUUAAGUUGGAUGUGAAAUCCCCGGGCUCAACCUGGGAACUGCAUCCAAAACUGACUGACUAGAGUAUGGUAGAGGGUGGUGGAAUUUCCUGUGUAGCGGUGAAAUGCGUAGAUAUAGGAAGGAACACCAGUGGCGAAGGCGACCACCUGGACUGAUACUGACACUGAGUGCGAAGCGUGGGGAGCAAA